UAACACGUGGGUAACCUGCCUGUAAGACUGGGAUAACUCCGGGAAACCGGGGCUAAUACCGGAUGGUUGUUUGAACCGCAUGGUUCAGACAUAAAAGGUGGCUUCGGCUACCACUUACAGAUGGACCCGCGGCGCAUUAGCUAGUUGGUGAGGUAACGGCUCACCAAGGAAACGAUGCGUAGCCGACCUGAGAGGGUGAUCGGCCACACUGGGACUGAGACACGGCCCAGACUCCUACGGGAGGCAGCAGUAGGGAAUCUUCCGCAAUGGACGAAAGUCUGACGGAGCAACGCCGCGUGAGUGAUGAAGGUUUUCGGAUCGUAAAGCUCUGUUGUUAGGGAAGAACAAGUGCCGUUCAAAUAGGGCGGCACCUUGACGGUACCUAACCAGAAAGCCACGGCUAACUACGUGCCAGCAGCCGCGGUAAUACGUAGGUGGCAAGCGUUGUCCGGAAUUAUUGGGCGUAAAGGGCUCGCAGGCGGUUUCUUAAGUCUGAUGUGAAAGCCCCCGGCUCAACCGGGGAGGGUCAUUGGAAACUGGGGAACUUGAGUGCAGAAGAGGAGAGUGGAAUUCCACGUGUAGCGGUGAAAUGCGUAGAGAUGUGGAGGAACACCAGUGGCGAAGGCGACUCUCUGGUCUGUAACUGACGCUGAGGAGCGAAAGCGUGGGGAGCGAACAGGAUUAGAUACCCUGGUAGUCCACGCCGUAAACGAUGAGUGCUAAGUGUUAGGGGGUUUCCGCCCCUUAGUGCUGCAGCUAACGCAUUAAGCACUCCGCCUGGGGAGUCGUCGCAAGACUGAAACUCAAAGGAAUUGACGGGGGCCCGCCACAAGCGGUGGAGCAUGUGGUUUUAAUUCGAGCACGCGAGACCUUACCAGGUCUUGACAUCCUCUGACAUCCUAGAGAUAGGACGUCCCCUUCGGGGGCAGAGUGACAGGUGGUGCAUGGUUGUCGUCAGCUCGUGUCGUGAGAUGUUGGGUUAAGUCCCGCAACGAGCGCAACCCUUGAUCUUAGUUGCCAGCAUUCAGUUGGGCACUCUAAGGUGACUGCCGGUGACAAACCGGAGGAAGGUGGGGAUGACGUCAAAUCAUCAUGCCCCUUAUGACCUGGGCUACACACGUGCUACAAUGGACAGAACAAAGGGCAGCGAAACCGCGAGGUUAAGCCAAUCCCACAAAUCUGUUCUCAGUUCGGAUCGCAGUCUGCAACUCGACUGCGUGAAGCUGGAAUCGCUAGUAAUCGCGGAUCAGCAUGCCGCGGUG
rnacentral:rRNA from 1 species